AAUGGAACACAGCAAAUUCAGUGUGGAAAGUCUGUUUUGAAGGACAGUUGUUCCUGCCGCGACGGUAGAGACGGCAGAGAUGGCCAAAACGGAAAAGUAGGCCGCGAUGGACGCGACGGGAAAAUGGGAGCAAAGGUUGGUGUAAAGAUAUGACCAAAGAAAUUAAUGACAAAAA